CCAGAGCACAAGCCGCUGGUGAGCCGCUGCUGCAGUUUCUUGAUUAUGGAGUUCUGUGCUCGUUGUUGAGGCGAUCGGUAUUUUGAUAUCUUGCUACUGCCUUCUGGGUAAAAGGUGAACGGAUCCAACGUUAGUAAUCCCAAAGCAUUGAUGAAGAGACAAGACCAGAAUCCUAGGAGACAGUUUUCUGGAUUGUAAUACAUCACCAGAUAUUUGCUACUGCCAACACUACUCACUUGAGGAGUACUAUCACCUCUUGGCUGAGAAGAUCUACAAGAUCCAGAAGGAGCUGCAGCAAAAGCAACAGAAGAGGAUUCAGGAGGUACUGAUGCUGCCGCUGGAGGCAUCCUCACGAUGGCAACAGCGCAGCUGCCCCAGCCACAGCCUCCCCACUAUUUGCCCAGACCUGGAUGUCUACUGGGAAAAUGUAGCUCUUUCAACCAACGUAU